rnacentral:rRNA from 1 species
GACGAACGCUGGCGGCGUGCUUAACACAUGCAAGUCGAACGAGUGGCGAACGGGUGAGUAACGCGUAUCAACCUGCCCUUAGGGGGGGGAUAACAGUGGGAAACGACUGCUAAUCCCGCAUAUUAUUCGAGCGGCCGAUGUCUGAUUAGCUGGUUGGGGGGGUAAAGGCCCACCAAGGCGACGAUCAGUAGCGGGUCUGAGGGGAUGAUCCGCCACACUGGGACGGAGACACGGUCCAGACUCCUACGGGAGGCAGCAGUGGGGAAUAUUGCACAAUGGGCGCAAGCCUGAUGCAGCCAUGCCGCGUGUGUGAAGAAGGCCUUCGGGUUGUAAAGCACUUUCAGCGGGGAGGCGUUACCCGCAGAAGAAGCACCGGCUAACUCCGUGCCAGCAGCCGCGGUAAUUC